CGAUAACGAACGAGACCUCGACCUGCUAAAUAGUCACAGGGUAUUCAUGCGAUACAAUUGUACUUCUUAGAGGGACUAUCAGUUGGUGUACCUGAUGGAAGUUCGAGGCAAUAACAGGUCUGUGAUGCCCUUAGAUGUCCUGGGCUGCACGCGCGCUACACUGAUUCACACAUCGAGCUUACAACCUGGACUGGAAGGUUUGGGUAAUCUUGAAAAGCGAAUCGUGAUGGGGAUAGAUUAUUGUAAUUUUUGAUCUUCAACGAGGAAUUCCUAGUAAACGCGCGUCACUAACGCGCAUUGAUUACGUCCCUGCCCUUUGUACACACCGCCCGUCGCUACUACCGAUUGAAUGGCU
rnacentral:rRNA from 1 species